rnacentral:rRNA from 2 species
GACGUGCUAAUCUGCGAUAAGCGUCGGUAAGGUGAUAUGAACCGUUAUAACCGGCGAUUUCCGAAUGGGGAAACCCAGUGUGAUUCGUCACACUAUCAUUAACUGAAUCCAUAGGUUAAUGAGGCGAACCGGGGGAACUGAAACAUCUAAGUACCCCGAGGAAAAGAAAUCAACCGAGAUUCCCCCAGUAGCGGCGAGCGAACGGGGAGCAGCCCAGAGCCUGAAUCAGUGUGUGUGUUAGUGGAAGCGUCUGGAAAGGCGUGCGAUACAGGGUGACAGCCCCGUACACAAAAAUGCACAUACUGUGAGCUCGAUGAGUAGGGCGGGACACGUGGUAUCCUGUCUGAAUAUGGGGGGACCAUCCUCCAAGGCUAAAUACUCCUGACUGACCGAUAGUGAACCAGUACCGUGAGGGAAAGGCGAAAAGAACCCCGGCGAGGGGAGUGAAAAAGAACCUGAAACCGUGUACGUACAAGCAGUGGGAGCACGCUUAGGCGUGUGACUGCGUACCUUUUGUAUAAUGGGUCAGCGACUUAUAUUCUGUAGCAAGGUUAACCGAAUAGGGGAGCCGAAGGGAAACCGAGUCUUAACUGGGCGUUAAGUUGCAGGGUAUAGACCCGAAACCCGGUGAUCUAGCCAUGGGCAGGUUGAAGGUUGGGUAACACUAACUGGAGGACCGAACCGACUAAUGUUGAAAAAUUAGCGGAUGACUUGUGGCUGGGGGUGAAAGGCCAAUCAAACCGGGAGAUAGCUGGUUCUCCCCGAAAGCUAUUUAGGUAGCGCCUCGUGAAUUCAUCUCCGGGGGUAGAGCACUGUUUCGGCAAGGGGGUCAUCCCGACUUACCAACCCGAUGCAAACUGCGAAUACCGGAGAAUGUUAUCACGGGAGACACACGGCGGGUGCUAACGUCCGUCGUGAAGAGGGAAACAACCCAGACCGCCAGCUAAGGUCCCAAAGUCAUGGUUAAGUGGGAAACGAUGUGGGAAGGCCCAGACAGCCAGGAUGUUGGCUUAGAAGCAGCCAUCAUUUAAAGAAAGCGUAAUAGCUCACUGGUCGAGUCGGCCUGCGCGGAAGAUGUAACGGGGCUAAACCAUGCACCGAAGCUGCGGCAGCGACGCUUAUGCGUUGUUGGGUAGGGGAGCGUUCUGUAAGCCUGUGAAGGUGUACUGUGAGGUAUGCUGGAGGUAUCAGAAGUGCGAAUGCUGACAUAAGUAACGAUAAAGCGGGUGAAAAGCCCGCUCGCCGGAAGACCAAGGGUUCCUGUCCAACGUUAAUCGGGGCAGGGUGAGUCGACCCCUAAGGCGAGGCCGAAAGGCGUAGUCGAUGGGAAACAGGUUAAUAUUCCUGUACUUGGUGUUACUGCGAAGGGGGGACGGAGAAGGCUAUGUUGGCCGGGCGACGGUUGUCCCGGUUUAAGCGUGUAGGCUGGUUUUCCAGGCAAAUCCGGAAAAUCAAGGCCGAGGCGUGAUGACGAGGCACUACGGUGCUGAAGCAACAAAUGCCCUGCUUCCAGGAAAAGCCUCUAAGCAUCAGGUAACAUCAAAUCGUACCCCAAACCGACACAGGUGGUCAGGUAGAGAAUACCAAGGCGCUUGAGAGAACUCGGGUGAAGGAACUAGGCAAAAUGGUGCCGUAACUUCGGGAGAAGGCACGCUGAUACGUAGGUGAAGCGACUUGCUCGUGGAGCUGAAAUCAGUCGAAGAUACCAGCUGGCUGCAACUGUUUAUUAAAAACACAGCACUGUGCAAACACGAAAGUGGACGUAUACGGUGUGACGCCUGCCCGGUGCCGGAAGGUUAAUUGAUGGGGUUAGCGCAAGCGAAGCUCUUGAUCGAAGCCCCGGUAAACGGCGGCCGUAACUAUAACGGUCCUAAGGUAGCGAAAUUCCUUGUCGGGUAAGUUCCGACCUGCACGAAUGGCGUAAUGAUGGCCAGGCUGUCUCCACCCGAGACUCAGUGAAAUUGAACUCGCUGUGAAGAUGCAGUGUACCCGCGGCAAGACGGAAAGACCCCGUGAACCUUUACUAUAGCUUGACACUGAACAUUGAGCCUUGAUGUGUAGGAUAGGUGGGAGGCUUUGAAGUGUGGACGCCAGUCUGCAUGGAGCCGACCUUGAAAUACCACCCUUUAAUGUUU